GUCGGCGGCUCGUCAAGUGCUGCAGGUGCAAUACCUCCAAGGUAUCCACACGUGCAGGGAGGAAGCAUCGCAAGCUGGACUGCUAGAUCCGCGAGUUGCAACAGGCGAGGGCGUGGGAGGCGCGGCAGGUGUGUUUCGCCAAAAAGGUGUAAACCCUAGGGCGCCCCCACCCCUCUAUUUAUAGAGGUUCCUGACGGGCCUCUGGAUCCGAGGCCCAUUAGUACUUCUAAACCUAAUCUAACUCGGAUCAGAUCCGAAUUGGGCUUCCAGCCCCUUAAGUGUGUGACCCUAUGGGUUCGGAUACGUAUAGACAUGGCCCGAGUACUCCUACUCGGCCCAAUAGUCAGUAGCGGCCUCUAGCAAGACGUGCCAACUCCUAUACGUACACGAAGAUCAUAUCAGAUGAACCAUCACAACAUAAUAUACAUUCUAUUCCCUUUGCCUCACGAUAUUUGGUCUAGCUUCAAGCCGACCGCUCUUUCUCGAUCCUGUGAUUCGGAAUCCCUUUGUAGGUUAACUCUUAACCAUACGUAGCAUGGCCAUGCAUUUUCGGAUCCGAUCACUCGAGGGGCCCAGAGAUAUCACUCUCAAUAAGAGAGGGGCAAAUCCCAUCUUGAUUGAUCAUGUCUCAUAGCAUGCUUCUUGACAAACCCGAAAGCUACCUUUAUAACUACCCUGUUACGGCGUAGCGUUUGAUAGCCCCUAAGUAUGUCGAUCCACAUCUAGAAUACAUGCGACAAUCUCAGGUCUAAGGACAAAGUGUAUAUGUUGUUUUAAAGAGAGAACUACUUCUCGUGUUGGGUCAGUCCUAACACAUGUCUCCACAUGUGUCCACAUUAUUAGUUCAACAUCUCCAUGUCCAUGACUUGUGAAACAUAGUCAUCAACUAAUACAUGUGCUAGUCUAAUAUUCAUGUGUGUCAUCACAUGAACUCCGACUAGGGACAACUUUAGAAUAACCAUACAAGUAAAGAGUUUCACAUACAAUUCACAUAAUUGCAAAUCAAUUCAAGUAGCCUUUAAUGGAUAUUCAAUGAACAUAAUAUACAAAUCAUGGAUACAAAUGGAAUAUCAUCAUCUCUAUGAUUGCCUCUAGGGCAUACCUCCAACAGUCCCUGUUCCGAGAGCACCUGUCUAGCUCGGCUUCAUUUUCCCAACCUGUUUUCGUCGGUGCGACUUUCAGUCAUGUCUUCUUCAUCCUCUUUCUCUUCUUCUAUUAAUCAGGUGAAAGUUUUUCCUUCAUCCUUUUUCUUAGUUUAGAUCUUUUGAAGGGAAUCACCUUUUUGAUCGUUGCUUUCCACAGACACGGCGCCUUAGCCCUUAACUCGAACGAGUCAUCGAACUCAUGCACUCCGACGGACCCUUGUCACAAGAAGGCAAGGACUUAAUCAGGGCUCAUCGUGACGAACUCCAAGAGCACAUCCCUGCUGACAUCCGACGGAUUUGGGAUUUUCUGGACUGCAACGCCCACCGGCGACCCCAAGCCGACAGAAGUCAUCUGUUUCCUCAAUGAAUCAUCCUUGAAGAUGCAGCGGCAGGAACAUCACGCCCGGCAAUGGACCGGAGCCACCCUCUCCCCCGUCAAGUCGAAGCGGAGGCUGCGGUGAUAGAGAUAGAAGAAGAGUACAUCCGUCUUCUGAUAGAACUAGGUCGGGCUGAGAGAGAGCGUAAGAAAAAGCGUGAUUAAUUAUUUUUUGUUCUAUGGGAGACUUGUACCUUGUCGGCCGUGUAACCCUCCGUCCGUACUGAAUGAAAUAUAUCGGCCGAUUUGGACGAUUACGUGUUUCCUCUAGACGAAUUCUUUUGUAUCGGCUGUGUGUUGUUCAUCGUGGUCGAUCCUUAUGCUCCGACCCAUAUACUAGGGUAGUACCUUUUCAAGUAUCUUCCGUUCAGAGCCCUUGUAAACUCUUCUCCUUCGAUUGUUUCCAAAAUAUAAGCGUUUCCUGGAGCACAUCUGCCGAUUUUGUACGGCCCUUCCCAUGUAGGGGACCACUUACCGAAUUUAGGAUCUUUCGACCCAAUCGGCAACACUAACUUCCAAACCAGGUCUCCCGGAGAGAAUUGUUUGACUUUGACCUUCUUAUCAUACCAUCUGGCCACUUUCUUCUUAUUUUCCUUGAUGCUUAUCAAAGCUCUCAAUCGUUGCCCAGCCUAGUCAUCAAGCUCCCUUUUCAUGAGUGAGGAGUAGUCGUCGGCCGUCAGCUGGUCCUGGAGCGACGUGCGUCUCGACCCCGCCCUCAAUUCCCAUGGUAGUACUGCAUCGUGACCGUACACCAACUGAUAAGGGGACAACUUGGUGGCCCCAUGACAAGCCAUCCUGUAUGCCCAUAGGGCUUCAAACAAACAUAGAUGCCAUUUUUUCGGCUGCUCCUCUAUCUUCCUCUUGAUUAACUUUAUUAUCCCUUUGUUGGAGGAUUCAGCCUGGCCAUUAGCUUGGGCAUAAUAUGGAGAGGAAUUUAACAACUUGAUUCCCAUAUCGGCCGUGAACUCCUCGAAUUCUCCUGAUGUGAACAUUGUCCCUUGAUCGGUUGCGAUAGUCUGGGGGAUGCCAAAACGGUAGACGAUAUGGUCUCUUACGAAGUCGACCAUAGCAGCCGAUGUUACGGCCCUUAACGAAAUUGCCUCCACCCAUUUGGUGAAAUAAUCAGUGGCCACCAGAAUGAACUUGUGCCCUUUGCUUGAUGGAGGAUAAAUUUGGCCGAUGAGGUCUAUUCCCCAUCCUCUGAACGGCCAUGGUUUGAUAAUGGGAUUCAUGGCCGAUGCGGGCGCACGUUGGACAUUCCCGAAUUUCUGACAAUCCUGGCAUCCCUUAUAAUAUUUGAAGCAAUCUUCGAGGAUCGUGGCUAGUAAUACCCAUUAUUCCUGAUCAUCCAUUUCAUCUUAUGUGCCGAUUGGUGGGCUCCACAUACUCCUUCAUGGAUUUCUCCCAUCAGAGUCUUAGCCUCCUCCGUUCCCAGACACUUGAGUAGGACGCCAUCAAUUGUUUGGUAGAACAAGUCGUCUUCCAGUAAUACGUAUUUGGUAGCAUGGAAACGCACCCGCCGAUCCACUUUCUUAGAUGGAUCUUUCAGGUAAUCGGCAAUCUCUUUUCGCCAGUCAUCGGCUACGAGUUCUAGAGCCAUAGCACCUUGAAUCGGCCGAUACCCAGAUGCGUGUUGGGCGAGCUUGUUGGCAUCCUCGUUGUGAUUCCUUGGGAUGUGUACAAUAACUGCCGACUUGAAUUCUUUCAGAAGUUGCAGGCAAUCUUCAUAAUAAAUCCUCAACACAUCGUCCUUACAUUCGGACUUCCCAGUCAAUUGAUCCACAAUAAGCAUGGAAUCUCCAAAAACUUCGACAGAAUCGGCCUUGACUUCUCUAAGCAAUUGUAACCCCUGCAGUACAGCUCGGUACUCUGCUUGAUUGUUAGUGGCGGAUGCUUCUAUCGGCAGAGAAAAAUCAUAGCUUGCCCCCCGAGGCGAUAUGAGGAUGAUGCCGAUUCCUGAUCCGGCCCCACAUGACGAUCCAUCAAAGUAUAAGGUCCAAGGUACUGGUUCCACGAAGGUAGUGUCUCGUCCGCAGUGUUGGGCAACGAAAUCGGCCAUGACCUGACCUUUAACGGCUUUUGCCGAUUCAUAUCGAAGGUCAAACUCUGACAAAGCCAAGAUCCAUUUGCCGAUUCGUCCUUUCAAAAUCGGCAGUGACAGCAUGUAUUUUACCACGUCGUCCUUGCACACGACCACACAUUCCGCCGAUAGCAAAUAGUGCCUGAGUUUGGUACAUGAGAAGUAAAGGCAUAGGCACAACCGUUCCAUUGGAGGAUACCUUGUUUCGGCGUCCAGAAGUCUUCUACUGACAUAAUAAAUUACCCGUUCCUUUCCUUCAAACUCCUGGACCAGAGCCGACCCAAUAGCUCGUUUAUCGGCUGAUAAAUAUAGUUUAAACGGCUUACCAGUUUGAGGAGGGACCAAUACCGGUGGUGAGACCAAGUACUGCUUGAUAUCUUCCAAAGCCUUGCGUUGCUCUUCCCCCCAUAUGAACUCCUGGUCGGGCUUCAACUUUAAUAAUGGUGUGAAGGCUUGGAUUCGCCCAGAUAGAUUAGAUAUGAACCUCCUGAUGAAAUUCACCUUGCCGAUUAGAGAUUGCAGCUCAGUUUUAUUCUGUGGGGCCACGAUUUUGUUGAUGGCCGCUAUGGUCUUCUGAUUGAUUUCUAUUCCCCGCUCGUGCACCAUGAAUCCUAAGAAUUGUCUGGCGGAUACGCCGAAGGCACACUUAUUCGGGUUCAUCUUCAGCCCAUGUUUCUUAGUGCAUUCCAACACCCGUCGUAAAUCGGCCAGAUGCUCCUGGUGUCCUUUUGACUUGACUACAACGUCGUCGAUGUAGAUCUCUACUAGUAUGCCGAUAAGUUUGUGAAAUAUGUAGUUCAUGGCUCUCUGAUACAUAGCGCCGGUGUUUUUCAAGCCGAAAGUCAUUACCACCCACUCGAAUAAGCCAAGGUGACCUGGGCAUUUGAAGGCCGUUUUGGGUAUGUCUUCUUCGGCCAUAAGUAUCUGGUUGUACCUAGCGUUUCCAUCCAUGAAACUAAUAACCUUGUAUCCCGCGGUGGCAUCUAUCAGCACAUCGGCCGUUGGCAUGGGGUAUCCGUCCAUUGGUGUGGCCUGAUUAAGGUUCCUGAAAUCGACGCAUAUGCGUAGCUUUCCGUUCUUCUUGUAUACUGGUACAAUGUUGGAGAUCCAUUCGGCAUAACGGCAUUGCCGAAUAAAUUUUGCUUCGAUUAGCCGUGUUAUUUCGGCUUUUAUAUCUGGUAGGAUUUUGGGAUUGCACCGUCGUGCAGGCUGUUGAUACGGCCGAUACCCUGGUUUUAUGGGUAGCCGAUGUUCAACGAUAGAUCGGUCUAAUCCGGGCAUCUCAUGAUACUCCCAAGCAAAGCAAUCCUUAAAUUCUCUUAACAAACUUGUCAGUUUACAUUUGUAUUCCGGAUCUAAAUUUGCACUAAUAUAUGUUGGCCUUGGUUUGGUGCCAUCGCCUAAGUCUAUCUGUUGACGCCGGAUUUUGUCACCAGUAGAAUCGGCGCCAAGCAGAAAAGAAAUCGGAGAAGUACAGUUGGGAAUCGGUCAAAUGGUGCUAUAGUACGGAAUCGGCUGGCGACUUUUGUCUCGCUUCAGGAUGAAUGCACCAGAAUCCCAAUCGGUAAUCUUUUGCCGAUGAGAAAUCGGCCGAUUAGGAGGAUGGAUUAAUUGGGCCUGUAUGGGCUUGGAAAGGGAUGGAAGGAUAAGGUGGAGGUCAGCCCACAAAGCGUGGGGUAACUAACCUAGCACGAAUUGUGCUUGUAGAUAUUUGUUUUCUGUUUGAAUUAGAGAUAGAAUUCUAGUCGGUUAAGAAGUUAUCUGUACGGGGCUAUAAAUAGCUACCUUUGCAAAUCUGUAAUCAUCAACCAAUCAAUACAACAAGCUACUUUUUCUUCGUACUUACUUUCGAGCAGGCGACUUCGCCAUUACUUUUUCUUCUCACGAGUUCGUGCGGAUUGGCAGGGCUGCAUCAUCUUGAUCUCCGGCCGAUUCUAUAAGUUCCGUUUAUCGAGUAAUAUCUAAGCUUUAACUUCCAGCGCAUCGCUGUUGUUUCGUUUAGAUUUAUUCAUCAGUUAUCGAUAUUUGCUAGAUUUAUAGGUUUUUACCUGUUUUUCUAGUUUUUAUCACCAGUUAUCCAGCUAGGAAUCGGUAGUAUCGGCUUUCUUUAUUUUCUAUCGUUAGAUUCAUCUGUUGCCGAUUAGAUCCGUUCCUAGUGUUGUUAUCACAAGCUUUGCACUAUUUUACUUUAGCAAUUUCCUGUCUACAAAGCUGUAGGGAUCGGGCUGCCUUAUUCGGGUGCCGAAAUGCACCCGUUUUGCAUCGUUUUUCGUGCCGGAACCGAAUGCCCAAAAACACUCCCAAACAUGUUCUAGCUGACACGUGUUCUUCCUUGCCAAUCAACAGGUCAGAUUGGCUGGCACGCCGCGCGAACCGCACCAGGGCAUUCACCCGAACAGGAGCUAAGCAGAUUCUCCCGGGUCGUGUGUCGGUCGCUGGGAUUCGGUCGAUCUGAUGAGGACACCACGAGUACAUCUACACCAGCAGCACCUCAGGCGCCUCCAGUUGCUCCUCCACCUCAGGCGCCUACAGUUGCUCAUCCAGUUGGGCCAAUCACUCGAGCCCGUGCGAGAGAAUUAAACUUCAUCAUGCUGUUAAGGAACGAAGGCCCAUCGGAAUAAGAAGAUGGCCCAACAGGGCAGCCCAGGUGGGGCGCCUAGGGUUGGGCGCCGUGACCCCUUCGGACUCCAGGGGCUGCGCCCCCUUUAUUUAGUCCGAGUCCUUUUUGUUUACGACUUGAGUUUUGUUUUACAUCUAGCUUUAGCUACUCUUGAACACGCGCAAAUACGCGCUGUCCUUGUGAUUCAGAACUCCACCUUCGAGUGAUAUUUAGAUUGCUCGCCUCUCUUUCUUGUUCGUUCUUCGAUUGCGGACAGGAAUCGAUCUUCGUGAUCAGGCUGAUCUCGCACCAGCGAGGUUGGUAACCAUCGGGAGUUGGUUCAGCGAUUGCAUUGGCGCUUCGGGUUCGCUCGUCGUAGUCGGAUCGUGAGGGUCUACUUCCACCAAGUCGAAUUUAUCUCCACUCACCGAAAGAUCGGGCACUCCGACUCUAUCAAGUGGUAUCAGCUUUCCAGGUUGAUCGGUGAGUUUUACCGAGUGUUUUUCCCUACCUACAGUCCACAAAAACCAAAACAAAUUUUUUUCAGGUUAGAUCCUUUGUCCCAGCAACCGUUUAGCCUUGCACAUUCUUUCAAUAAGUGUCUUUGUUGAAUUUGUGUGCCUACUCGUUCAAUUGUUGCUGGUUACUUGUGUUUAAUCUCUUGUUUCUCGUUUUUCAUCUAACCCUAGUUUUCGCCGCCGCCGCCGUUCCGCUGCUCGCCAACCCUACCACCGCACCUCCCCCCGCGACAACCGCGCCGCGCCAUCCCACUACUCCGAUCACCCCUCCCCUGUCAAAAAAAAAAGAUCGAAAGCAAUCAAAAAAAAAAAAAAGGAAAGAAGCAAAAAAAAAAAGAGACGAAGAAGAAUCCAACAGGGCGAAGGAAGGUGAUUCGGAUUUGUUUCGGUGGAACCUUCCUUUGCGCGCGCCGUGACUCCUCCUGGGUCACGACUCUCUGGUGUUAUUUCCCCCCCCCACGCAUCCCGUGCCCGCUUUUCAUAUCCAUAUCUCUCUUUCUUGGUACAUUUUUCUGAGGUUCGCUUUUCAUAUCCAUAUCUUUUUUUUACCGGAAUACCCCUGUACUUUCGGAAAAAGUGUGUGCCGCAAUUUGAUAUUUGAGAUCCUCUGUGUUCAUAUUAUCAGUUUUGGGGCACCCUCUGUGAAAAAAAAAAAACAGAAAUAAAAAAAAAAAAAAAGAGGUGUGCCCUCUCCACCUUGCCUGUGUUCUUUCGAUUUUUCCUUGUUACCAGCAACUCUUGUUACGUGUUUGGCACUAUCUUUCAACUUUGCAUUAUUGUUUGAUUGUGCUAAUCCUUCAUUUGAGUGCAGCCUUCCCAGAACUCCACAUAGUUCUACGACGAGCAUAUUUUGUUUCUCCAGGCAAUCGCUCCUCCAAUCUUUCGUGAGUUCCACCGGUUGGUUGCAGUUCGCCCCUGUGUGCGUGGUAAGAACGGAUAAGAAUUUGAUAACAGCACUAGUGUGAGCGCCUUGUGAGCUGUUACACCCCUAUUUUGUCGUCGCUUGUGUUCUUGUCUUUGCGCUAACCAUGGCAGAUGAUGUCGACGCGGGGGCUGACCAGCUGCAGGGCAUACGGGCGCAAGUUGAAGGGCUUGUCACCGACAUUCAGACGAUUCAUGAACGGCUGGACUCGACGAUCUCCUCGACGACCGAGCGGUGUGAUCAGCUCGACCUUGCACAGACGGCCGCUAAGGCCACACUCGACUCAGUUGUGGCAAGACUCGAUGCAUUGCACACUACAGUCGCAGAGUUGCAGCAGGGUUAUGGUGGUGACUCGGACCAGGACGAUGGCGACCGCCGUGGCCGUGCCCGCCGCGUGCCACGCCGUCCCGGUGGUAAUGAUUCCUUUUCCAAGAUUAAAUUUAAAAUUCCACCUUUUAAUGGCAAAUAUGAUCCUGCUGCAUAUCUUGAUUGGGAAUUAGAAGUCGAACAGAAAUUUUCAUGCCAUGAUAUUCUUGCUAAUUCUCAAGUUAAAGCUGCUAUUAGUGAAUUUACUGAUUUUGCUUUAAUCUGGUGGCGUGAAUAUAAACACAAACAUCCCAAUACCAUUCCAACCACUUGGGAGCAAUUAAAAACUGCUAUGCGCCACAGAUUUGUGCCUUCUUAUUAUGCUCGCGAUUUGCUUAAUAAAAUGCAACGUUUUUAGCAAGGUUCCAAAUCUGUUGAGGAAUAUUUCCAGGAAUUACAAAUAGGCAUGAUUCGUUGUGGGUUAUUGGAGGAAAACGACGCUGCUAUGGCACGUUUUCGUGGUGGUUUGAACCGCGAAAUUCAGGAUAUACUUGAUUAUAAGGACUACACAGAUAUGACAACAUUAUUUGAAUAUGCUUGCAAAGCUGAACGUGAAGUGCAGGGACGCCGCUCGAAGACAUAUUCUAACUCUUUUGCAGGAAGAAGCUCGACAUCCAACUCCGUACCCGCUCUCCCUGCGCCACCCACGCCCACCACUACACCGCGCGAGCGAACGGCCAAACCUGCAAGCGCUCUCCCUUCCACAGGCGCCGCCCCUCCCACAGGCCGUACACGGGAUAUUCAGUGUCAUCGUUGCAAAGGAUUUGGCCAUGUGAUUCGGGACUGUCCGAACAAGCGCACUUUGCUUCUUCGUGACGAUGGUGAGUACUCUUCCGCUAGUGAUUCUGAAGAUACUCGACAUGCGAUGCUUGCCACUGACCAUGCAGCUAUGGAGGUACAUGUCAACCCGGGCGACGCCGAUAGGUAUGAAAGCCUUGUUGUGCAGCGUGUUCUUAGUACACAGGUCACCCCGUCCGAGAAGAAUCAGCGACACACUCUUUUCCAUACCAAGGGCGUUGUGCAGGACCGGUCGAUUCGCAUCAUCAUCGACAGCGGCAGCUGCAACAAUUUGGCGAGUACCACGCUGGUUGAAAAGUUGUCUUUACCCACUCGUAAGCAUCCACAUCCAUAUCACAUUCAAUGGCUUAAUGAUGGUGGGAAAAUUAGAAUUACUCGAUCAGUCCGUGUUCCUUUCUCCAUGGGUGCUUAUUCUGAUUUUGUCGAUUGUGAUGUUAUUCCCAUGGAAGCAUGCUCUCUGUUACUUGGGCGACCUUGGCAAUAUGAUACUGAUAGCUUGCAUCAUGGUCGUUCAAAUCACUAUUCUUUCAUGUUUAAGGGUCAGAAAAUAAUUAUACAUCCAAUGACACCUGAACAAAUUCUUAAAGAUGAUCUUGCUAGAGCUGCUAAAACUGCUAAACAACUUGAACCAUCGACAUCUAUUAAUUCUGAAAUCAAGUUGAAUGCUCCUGUUUUGCUUGCCACACGUGCUGAUUUUGAUGAGUUACGCGAUGCUCCUUUGCCAUGCUAUGCCCUUAUAUGCUCUAGUGUGCUCGUUUCACUCGAUGAUGCACCAUCUUUGGAUAUUCCCCCUGCGGUUGCUAACAUUUUGCAGGAGUACGCUGAUGUCUUUCCAAAAGAUUUGCCACCGGGACUUCCACCACUUCGUGGCAUUGAGCACCAGAUCGACCUCAUUCCCGGCGCACAGCUUCCGAACCGUGCACCGUACCGUACAAAUCCGGAUGAGACGAAAGAAAUCCAGCGCCAGGUACAGGCGUUGCUUGACAAGGGUUAUAUUCGUGAGUCUCUUAGCCCUUGCUCCGUUCCUGUGUUACUUGUUCCAAAGAAAGAUGGCUCAUGGCGUAUGUGUGUAGACUGUCGUGCUAUUAAUAACAUUACCAUUCGCUACCGAUACCCUAUACCACGCCUUGAUGAUAUGCUAGAUGAGCUUAGUGGUGCCAUUAUUUUCACUAAGAUUGAUUUGCGUAGUGGCUACCAUCAGAUUCGCAUGAAAUUAGGUGAUGAAUGGAAAACGGCUUUUAAAACGAAAUUUGGGUUAUAUGAAUGGUUGGUUAUGCCGUUUGGUUUGACAAAUGCUCCCAGCACAUUUAUGCGUUUGAUGAAUGAAGUUCUGAGGCCCUUCAUAGGAUUGUUUGUAGUUGUCUAUUUUGAUGAUAUCCUCAUUUACAGCAAGUCUAUGGAAGAGCAUUUAGAACAUUUGCGUGCUGUUUUUGAUGCAUUGCGUGCGGCCCAUUUAUUUGCUAACCUCGAAAAAUGCAUGUUUUGCACACAACGUGUCUCGUUUCUUGGCUAUGUUGUUACUCCACAGGGCAUUGAGGUGGAUAGCAGCAAGAUUGAUGCCAUUCGGGAGUGGCCUACACCGACGACGGUCACACAAAUUCGAAGCUUUCUUGGCCUUGCAGGUUUCUACCGCCGGUUUGUUCGUGAUUUUAGCUCCAUUGCAGCGCCUCUACAUGAGCUUACAAAGAAGGAUGUUCCCUUUGCUUGGAGUGAUUCGCAAGAGGUUGCGUUCAGCACCUUGAAAGAUAAGUUAACCAAUGCUCCUCUCUUGCAGUUGCCUGAUUUUACUAAAGUGUUUGAGCUUGAAUGCGAUGCUAGCGGUAUUGGGCUAGGUGCUGUUUUGUUACAAGAAGGAAAACCGGUUGCUUACUUUAGUGAGAAAUUAAGUGGUGCUAGCUUGAAUUAUUCUACUUAUGAUAAGGAGCUUUAUGCUUUAGUGCGCACUUUGCAUACUUGGCAGCACUACCUUUGGCAUCGCGAGUUUAUAAUUCAUUCUGAUCAUGAGGCUUUAAAACAUAUUCGUACCCAAACAAACCUGAACCGUCGUCAUGCUAAAUGGGUAGAAUUCAUUGAGUCUUUCCCUUACAUUAUUAAACACAAGAGCGGGAAGGAAAAUGUCAUUGCUGAUGCUUUGUCUCGUCGCUAUACCAUGCUGUCACAGUUAGCUUUUAAAAUCUUUGGCUUGCAAACUGUGAAGGAUCAAUAUGUGGAUGAUGCUGAUUUUAAAGAUGCUUUCGCCCACUGUAUUCAUGGCAAACCAUGGGGCAAAUUUCACAUACAGGACGGGUUCCUGUUUCGCGCUAACAAGCUGUGUGUUCCAGCUAGCUCGGUUCGUCGUUUGUUGUUACAGGAAGCGCAUGGAGGCGGUCUCAUGGGGCACUUUGGCGUCUACAAGACGCAUGAAGUGCUGGCUGCCCACUUCUUUUGGCCCCGGAUGCGCGCUGAUGUUGAGCGCCUUGUUGCCCGCUGCACUACUUGCCAGAAAGCUAAGUCACGAUUAAACAACCAUGGUUUGUACAUGCCUUUGCCUGUUCCUACUUCCCCUUGGCUUGAUAUUUCUAUGGACUUUGUUUUGGGAUUGCCUAGAACUAAGAAGGGGAGGGACAGUAUUUUUGUGGUUGUUGAUCGUUUCUCCAAAAUGGCUCAUUUUAUACCUUGUCAUAAGACUGAUGAUGCUAGCAAUGUUGCUGAAUUGUUCUUUCGCGAGAUUAUUCGUUUGCAUGGUAUUCCAAAUACAAUAGUCUCUGAUCGUGAUGCUAAGUUUCUCAGUCAUUUUUGGAGAUCACUAUGGAAUAAAAUGGGAACUAAAUUGCUGUUUAGCACCACUUGUCACCCUCAGACUGAUGGACAAACUGAGGUGGUUAAUCGAACCUUGUCCACCAUGCUUAGGGCUGUUUUAGAUAAACACUUGAAACGUUGGGAAGAUUGCUUGCCUCAUGUUGAGUUUGCUUAUAAUCAUGCAACGCAUUCUUCUACAAAGAUGUGUCCUUUUCAAGUUGUUUAUGGUUAUAUUCCUCGGGCGCCUAUUGAUUUGUUUGCACUUGAUGCCGAGGACACCCCACACAUAGAUGCCGCUGCACAUAUUGAUCAAAUGAUUAGCUUGCAUGAGCAAACUCAACAAAACAUUGCUGCUGCUAAUGCUAAAUAUCAGGUUGCGGGUAGUAAAGGGAGAAAACAUGUUACUUUUGCACCGGGUGAUCUGGUUUGGUUGCAUUUGAGGAAGGAUCGUUUUCCUACCUUACGUCGUUCUAAAUUGAUGCCACGUGCUGCUGGUCCUUUUAAAGUGCUAACCAAGAUUAAUGAUAAUGCUUAUAUCCUUGACCUGCCUGCGGAGUUUGGUGUUUCCACGAGUUUUAAUGUUGCAGAUUUGAAACCGUAUGUGGGCGAAGAUGAGGAGUUGCCGUCGAGGACGACUUCAGUUCAAGAAGGGGAGGAUGAUGAGGACACCACGAGUACAUCUACACCAGCAGCACCUCAGGCGCCUCCAGUUGCUCCUCCACCUCAGGCGCCUACAGUUGCUCACGUGCGAGAGAAUUAAACUUCAUCAUGCUGUUAAGGAACGAAGGCCCAUCGGAAUAAGAAGAUGGCCCAACAGGGCAGCCCAGGUGGGGCGCCUAGGGUUGGGCGCCGUGACCCCUUCGGACUCCAGGGGCUGCGCCCCCUUUAUUUAGUCCGAGUCCUUUUUGUUUACGACUUGAGUUUUGUUUUACAUCUAGCUUUAGCUACUCUUGAACACGCGCAAAUACGCGCUGUCCUUGUGAUUCAGAACUCCACCUUCGAGUGAUAUUUAGAUUGCUCGCCUCUCUUUCUUGUUCGUUCUUCGAUUGCGGACAGGAAUCGAUCUUCGUGAUCAGGCUGAUCUCGCACCAGCGAGGUUGGUAACCAUCGGGAGUUGGUUCAGCGAUUGCAUUGGCGCUUCGGGUUCGCUCGUCGUAGUCGGAUCGUGAGGGUCUACUUCCACCAAGUCGAAUUUAUCUCCACUCACCGAAAGAUCGGGCACUCCGACUCUAUCACGAUCGAUUUCUAGCACCAACACACUUUUGGCACGCCCGGUGGGACGAAUACAACCGCUAUCAUGUUGAAAGCUGUUGAAGUCUCCGAAGAUAACGUCAUCGAAGUGACAGAAGCAGAUCUAAAGGACGACCAAAAGGAAGAUCUGAAUAAGUAUUUGGAGCAAGUCCGGAAAACUUGUUUAAAAUCCUUCAGUCGUUCCAGGAGCGGGGAGACUGUUAAAAAGACUCCUUUCCCUACUCCCCGUCAGAUCACAAUUUCUGAGGAUUCGGAUAAAAUGUCCGAUAUGAUUCAACAAUCUCUUCAUCACGCCUUCAUCAAUCAAUCCCCGGUGCUUUCAAACAUGGUGCACAAUGCCGUUGUCAACUCCUUCGCCGGAGGUAUACCUCAAGGAUACAGGGGACCAACGUAUUUUCAGCCGAUUCCACCAAAUCAGGCUUAUCCGGCUUCACAGCCGAUCCAAUCUUCUGUUGGAGGAUCCGGUGCUUCUGCGUCAUCAACUCCUUUGGGAUAUGGUUCUAUCCAAAUGUCCUCUGCACCAUUCCCUCCGGUCAACCCUUCACCCUGGGGGGCACCUUUAAACACGGCCGGUCUGAAUCAAUCGGUCAGUCAAGGAAAUCCUCCGUUCCAGACACCCUCCCAAACGGCCACCCGGCCGAUCAUACCACCAUACCAGCCUGUCGCUCCGGAGAUCAACAAGACGUCAGAGCUCAUGCUAUAUGAUGAAACAAGUGGUUCAUACAAACAGCCAACCUUUACUACACCGCCGGCUUAUACUCAGAUACCACCUUUUCAUCAAUCUCCUUUUAUUCAGCCUCCGAUUUAUCAGCACGUGCCGAUACCGCAGCCAACUAUUCCCCAGCAACAACCAGAUUGGUCGGCGCAAAUUGCGGAGGUAAUGCAAGAACAAUUCGGCUUGAAGCCGAAAAUGCAAACUUAUACCUAUAGAACACCAUACUCAUCUACAUAUGACUUGUUGCCGUUCCCCCAUCGGUACAAAGUUCCUGAUUUUACCAAAUUUUUGGGGAUGGAUGACACUUCGACUGUAGAGCAUGUGAAUAGAUUCAUCAUCCAAUGCGGGGAGGCAGCUACGCAAGAUGCCCUACGGGUACGGUUGUUCUCGUCAUCCUUGUCUGGAUCGGCCUUUCAAUGGUUCACGACGCUACCACCAAACUCAAUUAUCACAUGGGCCGAUCUAGAAAGACAGUUCCACAAGUACUUCUAUGCUGGGGUCCACGAAAUGAAGCUGUCCGAUUUGACUAGCCUACGGCAAAGAAGUGAUGAGCCGAUACCCUCGUAUAUACAGAGGUUUCGGGAAAUCAGAAACAAAUGCUACUCCCUGGCUCUAACCGAUGCGCAGUUGGCCGAUAUAGCUUUCCAAGGCCUUCUGCCACACAUUAAAGAGAAAUAUGCCUCACAAGAGUUCGAGAGCCUGAGCCAGAUUGUUCACCGAUUGUCCGGACAAGAAGUGCGUCCAUUCGAUCCGCGACGGAAUUUCCAGAAGAAAGUGGCAUUCCUGGAAGAGUUAGAGGAUGAGGAAGAUGUCGAAAUCGGACUUGCGGAGUGGGUUAAGGGAAAAAAGCCGAUAUCGUGCCCAUUCGGCAAAAAGGAGCCGGAAGCAUUCGGUUUCGAUACGACUAAAGCCGAUAAAAUCUUUGAUCUUCUCCUACAGGAAGGGCAGAUUAAACUCUCGCCUUACCAUACAAUACCCUCUGCCGAACAAUUAAAGAAGAUGAAGUAUUGCAAGUGGCACAAUGCCACAUCACAUGAUACUAACGAGUGCAAAAUCUUCAGGCAACAAAUACAGUCAGCCAUUGAGCAAGGCAGACUCAAAUUUGAAGUGCCGGCGAAAUCGGCCAAACCAAUGAAGAUCGACCAGCACCCCUUUCCUACCAACAUGGUUGAUACGGGAAAGAAUUCGCUCCAAACAAAAGUGCUGACGUCCGAAUCGGCCAAAAAGAGUGGCUCUGUCGAUCCCAGAAAUCAAACUACGCCUGAAGAUGUCAAAGGGAAGCGGCGAAUGGAGGACGAUGAUGGUGAGUCAGAUGGACCACGUAUUACUUCCCAGUUCCUGCUCCAAAAGUACCAACGCCAACAUGAACGUUCGAGGUCCCGAGAGGAAGCGAUGCGUCGGCACGAAGAGCACUGGAGAUGCCCGUUCUUCAUUCAUUGUUGGGAAAAUAGCCUCAGGCUACCAUCGGCCGAUACUUGCCCAGAGUGCAACGGUCCCUAUCGAGGCAAUUGGCCGUUCACCAGGUCUCGCUCCAGAGACGGAAGGCCAGAACCGAUCAGCAGGAAUUGGCGCAACCCAGAUGACCAGCGCCCUCCCGUGCGUGAUCGGCUGGGGGGCAGAAGUGACCGAUAUGAUCGGUCAGAAGAUAGAAGCCAUAAUAGGCAGGGGGGCAGGGCUGAUCGACAUGAUCAGUCAAAUAGCAAAGCUAGCGUUCACAGCCGGCUCGAAGACAUGGCCGAUGCUCGGGUAACGGAUGAGAACCCGUUAGGACGCGAACCGGAGUGGGAACGCGCCAGGAAAGAAGGGAGGCCAAUAAACCCCAGGUGGUGUCCUGAUGGUUUAACCAAAUCACAAAAACGGAGGAUCCAACGCCUCCGCCAAUGGGAACAGCAAGAAGAAGAGAGCGCGAUGGACAAGAAGGAAGGGAGGCCUCGGGUGUGGCGCCCCAAAAGAAACGACAAGGGAAACAAUGAGUCGGCGGGUGAGGAAUCGGCAGCCGAGAUCGGUAUGGUUUUCAUAUUGCCGAUGGAGUUCAUGACCCCUGCCGAUCAACAGGACGUAUCGGCGAUAGAGGAACAGACAGCACGGUUGGCUUUAGAACCAAUGAUGGCAACGUUCGAAAAGCCCGAAGAUGACGAACGACAACAUAUGAAGGCGUUGUUCCUUAAAGGGCAUGUUGACGGUCGUCCCCUCACUAGAUUGAUGGUCGACGGAGGAGCUGCUGUCAAUAUCAUGCCGUAUGCCGUACUCCGGAAGCUGGGGAAGAGCGACGACGACCUAACCAGGACGGACAUGAUGCUCAAGGACUUCGAAGGCAAGGUGUCAAACGCUCGCGGUGCUCUCUGCGUUGACCUCACCAUCGGCAGUAAGACUCUUCCUACCACGUUUUUUGUCAUUAAUGGCAAAGGGUCCUAUAAUAUGCUUCUUGGCCGAGACUGGAUACACGCGAACUGCUGCAUCCCGUCAACUAUGCAUCAAUGCCUCAUACAAUGGGUCGGCGAUAACAUCGAGGUGGUCAAAGCCGACUCCGCGUACAGCAUCGCAGCAGCCGACGCACAGCAAUGGAGCUGCGAAACCGUCAGAUGCAUAUCAGGUAGGGUGUGGGAAACCGAUUUCCUGAAGGUCACCGAUUUUGGCCUACAGCCGAUCCGAGCAGUCAGCUCCGAAGAAGCGGAAUAGAUGGAUCAGUUCGCCCGAGAAGACGGGAAGCUGGGGCACGGAUUCACGUCGGCCGAUUCAUUAGAGAUGAUAGACUUAGGUGACGGGACCAAACCAAGGCCGACUUUUAUUAGUGCAAAUUUAGAUCCAGAGUAUAAGUGUAAAUUGACAAAUUUAUUAAGAGAAUUCAAGGAUUGUUUUGCUUGGGAGUAUCACGAGAUGCCCGGUUUAGAUCGAUCUAUUGUUGAACAUCGGCUACCCAUAAAGCCAGGGUAUCGGCCGUACCAACAACCCGCACGGCGAUGCAAUCCUAAAAUUUUACCAGACAUAAAAGCUGAAAUAACUCGGCUAAUUGAAGCAAAAUUUAUUCGGCAAUGUUGUUAUGCCGAGUGGAUUUCUAAUAUCGUGCCAGUGUACAAGAAAAACGGGAAGCUGCGCGUUUGCGUUGAUUUCAGGAAUCUUAAUCAGGCCACACCGAUGGAUGGUUACCCCAUGCCUACGGCCGAUGUACUGAUCGACGCUGCCGCGGAACACAAAAUUAUUAGCUUCAUGAAUGGAAACGCCGGAUACAACCAAAUACUUAUGGCCGAAGAGGACAUACCCAAAACGGCUUUCAGAUGUCCAGGCCAUCUUGGUUUAUUCGAGUGGGUCGUGAUGACUUUCGGCUUGAAGAAUGCUGGUGCUACAUAUCAGAGAGCCAUGAACUACAUUUUUCACAAACUCAUUGGCCUCCUGGUGGAGAUCUACAUCGAUGAUGUUGUGGUCAAGUCCAAAAGCCACGAGGAACACCUAGCCGAUUUGCGAAGGGUGCUAGAGUGUACCAAAAAGCAUGGUCUUAAGAUGAAUCCCAACAAAUGCGCUUUCGGCGUCUCCGCCGGACAGUUCUUAGGAUUCAUGGUGCACGAACGAGGUAUAGAAGUCAAUCAGAAGACCAUAGCGGCCAUCAACAAAGUCGUUGCUCCACAGAACAAAACUGAGCUACAGUCUCUAAUCGGCAAGGUAAACUUCAUCAGAAGGUUUAUAUCUAAUCUAUCUGGACGACUCCAGGCGUUCACGCCACUUCUGAAGUUAAAGCCCGACCAGGAAUUUAUAUGGGGAGAAGAACAGCGCAAGGCGUUAGAAGAUAUCAAGCGAUACUUGGUCUCACCGCCAGUCUUGGUUCCCCCUCAAACUGGUAAGCCGUUUAAACUGUAUUUAUCAGCCGAUGAAAAAGCUAUUGGUCGGCUCUAGUCCAAGAGUUUGAAGGCAAAGAGCGGGUAAUUUAUUACGUCAGUAGAAGACUCCUGGAUGCCGAGACAAGAUACCCUCCGGUGGAGCGUUUGUGUUUGUGUCUUUACUUCUCGUGCACCAAACUCAGGCACUAUCUACUGUCGGCAGAAUGUGUAGUCGUAUGCAAAGAUGAUGUAGUGAAAUACAUGCUGUCACUGCCGAUAUUGAAAGGACGAAUCGGUAAAUGGAUCUUAGCUUUAUCAGAAUUUGACCUACGGUAUGAAUCGGCAAAAGCCGUCAAGGGUCAAGUCAUGGCCGAUUUCGUCACCCAGCACUGUGGACCGGAGAUCGCCUUCGUGGAACUAGCGCCUUGGCAAUUAUUUUUUGACGGGUCAUCAUGCGGGGCCGGAUCAGGAAUCGGCAUCGUUCUCAUAUCGCCUCGGGGGGCAAGCUAUGAUUUUUCUCUGCCGAUAGAAACCGCCGCCACUAACAAUCAAGCGGAGUACAGAGCUGUGUUAAAAGGCUUACAAUUAUUGAGAGAAGUCAAGGCCGAUUCUGUUGAGAUCUUCGGAGAUUCUAUGCUAAUUGUGGAUCAACUAACCGGAAGGGCUGAGUGCAAAGAUGACAUAUUAAGAAUUUAUCACGAAGAUUGCUUACAGCUUUUAAAAGGAUUCAGAUCGGCAGUAAUCGAGCAUGUUCCAAGAGACCGCAACGAGGAAGCAAACAAACUCGCCCAGCAUGCAUCUGGGUAUCGGCCGAUUCUGGGCGCCAUGGCCUUAGAACUUGCAGCCGACGACUGGCGUAAAGAAAUUGCCGAUUACCUUAAGGAUCCGUCUAAAAAGGUGGAGCGACGAGUACGCUUUCACGCCACCAAAUACGUAUUGCUCGAAGAUGAUCUGUUCUACCGAACGAUCGACGGAGUCCUUCUUAAAUGCCUUGGGACAGAAGAAGCCAAGACUCUAAUGGGAGAAAUCCAUGAAGGGGUAUGCGGAGUAAACCAAUCGGCACAUAAGAUGAAGUGGAUGAUCAAGAACAACGGGUAUUAUUGGCCUACGAUCCUCGAAGACUGUUUUAAAUAUUAUAAGGGUUGUCAGGAAUGUCAAAAGUUUGGAAAUAUCCAACGUGCACCCGCGUCGGCCAUGAAUCCCAUCAUCAAGCCAUGGCCGUUCAGGGGGUGGGGAAUAGACCUCAUCGGCCAAAUUUAUCCACCAUCGAGCAAGGGGCACAAAUUUAUUCUGGUGGCUACUGAUUACUUCACCAAAUGGGUGGAGGCAAUCCCGUUGAGGGCUGUGACUUCGGCUAUCAUGGCCGACUUCGUAAGGGACCAUAUCAUCUACCGAUUCGGUAUCCCUCAAACUAUAACAACCGAUCAAGGGACAAUGUUCACAUCGGGGGAAUUUGAGGAAUUUACGACCAAUAUGGGCAUCAAAUUGUUGAACUCUUCUCCGUAUUACGCUCAAGCCAAUGGUCAAGCAGAAUCCUCCAACAAAGGAAUAAUCAAGUUGAUCAAGAGGAAGAUCGAAGAAUAUCCGAAGAAGUGGCACCUAUGUUUGACUGAGGCCCUGUGGGCAUACAGAAUGGCCUGUCAUGGGGCUACCAAGUUAUCCCCCUAUCAGCUGGUAUACGGUCAUGAUGCAGUACUGCCAUGGGAGUCGAGGGCAGGAUCAAGGCGCAUUUCACUUCAGGACCAGUUGUCAACCGAUGAUUACUCAUCUCUGAUGAAAGGGGAACUCGAUGAUUUGGCUGGCCAACGACUAAGGGCUCUGAUAAGUAUCGAAGAAAAUAAAAAGAGAGUGGCCAGGUGGUACGAUAAGAAGGUCAAAGUCAAGCAGUUCUCCCCUGGAGACUUGGUAUGGAAGUUAGUACUACCGAUCGGGUCGAAAGAUCCUAAAUUCGGAAAAUGGUCUCCUACCUGGGAAGGGCCGUAUAGAAUCGGCAGAUGCGCUCCAGGGAAUGCCUACAUUUUGGAAACAAUAGAAGGAGAAGAAUUCACUAGAGCUCUAAAUGGAAGGUACUUAAAAAGAUAUUACCCAAGUAUAUGGGUCGGAGCCUAAGAAAUCAACCAUACAUAGCCGAUACGAGUCGGUUUAAGACGCACAUAAAGUCGACCGGAGCGGCCGAUUACAUUCAUUCGGUACGGACGACGGAUUACAUGGCCGACAGAACACUAAGUCGCCCUUAGAACAAAAAAUACAAAAAACAAACUAAUUGUUCUUCUUCUGGGAGGCCUUCCCAUUCCGCUCCAACUCGUCCGCAGCACGAAGGCGCGAGGCCUCUGCCGCCGCAAGGAUGACGGGUCGAGGAAGCAGACGGGCCCUAUCGGUGGAAGGCCGCUGGCCGCCGUUCCUCUCCAUGUAGUCCAGGAUCGUGCGGGCUGUUGAAGUGACGUCAUCUUCAGGAACGUCACGACGACGACCCCUCACGGUUGGAGAUCGGCGACGGCUCUCACUUACCACGGCAUCCAAGACUGCACGAGCCUCUGCAGUAAUGUGGUCUUGAAGCUCCUCUCGGUGGGCCAGAAUCAGAGCCUUGUCCUCCGGGGUCAACGGAUCUUCAGAGUGGAUGCACUCGAUGGCGCGCACGAGCUCCGGACCAAGGCGUUGGGGCUGAAACAAGGAAGGAAUAAGGCGACACAUUCGUUUCCUAAGAUCUAAGAGAAGAAGUCGGGUCUCCACCUGGUUAACAGAAGAAGAUGACGAUGAGGCCAUGACGAAGCAGUCGCGCUGAUGAGAAGAAGAAGAAAAGUGAAAUGGGAGCCGAGUCGAUACUAUCGGGAGUAAGCACCGAGGUCGAUAUUUAUGGGAAAAAUACGUGGAAAUCUGGUGAGGCCACGUCCCAUCGGUAAUAAGGAAGGCAGUAAAUAGAGAGGGCGUCGCGAAGGGUCAGUCAAAGAAGAUAGUAAAUGUUCGUACAAAACGGUCAGUGUUUUACAGAUUACCCAAAAGGGUAUCGAUAGCUGUGAUGGCCCGGCGCCGGAUCUGAUCGGCAGAGUCAAGAACCCGUUGGUCUUCUUCCACCGAUCCAGGGACCUCCGAUGCGCUGCGGUGGAGUCUCAGAGCCUCAUAAGCAAAGCGCUGCCUCUCCCGUGUCAAAUCGGCAAUAGCAGAGGGUAACUCUUGAAGUUUGUUCUCUUCGGCGCUGAUUGCCUUGGUCACUUGCUCCAUCUCUUUGGCAAGUCCUGCCCUCCGACGUUUGAGGCGGUCUAUUUCACUAAUGAUCGCCGGGCGUGAGUCUUCUAGGACAUGGAUACGCCGAUGCGCUUCUUGAGCCUGACGCUUGAAAGCGUCUUCAUCUUCACGAGUCUUGGCCAGUUUCGCGCGAUCGGCCAUGUGACGAAGGGCCCUAAAGACCGGGAUCCUCAUGGACUCAAUGAAGGCCGCCGGUGCCAAGGCCUCUUCCGCUUCCUCUGGUACUUGUCCGCUGACGUCACUGAAGAGCUGCCGAAUCGGCGAAGCAUCUUCUACCAAUCGGCCGAUGUCCCCUUGUAGGAGGGAUCGGAUGUUGGUGAGUUUAGCUCGGACGUCGUCAGGAACGGAGCUUAGAGCAACAUGGCGGGAUGCGACUUCCUUGUCAUCGGAGAGAGCAACCGCGAAGGAGAAGAGGCUGUUGUCGGGGGAGUCUUGUUCCUAAAAAAGAAAUAAGGAAAAGGAGUGAACCGGCGGGGGAUCAGAGCAGGUCGGCUGGUUGAAAGCUGGUUUAGGAACUUACCAUCUUAAAGCGAAUUUCUUCAUGCUGCGCUUCUAAAGCCGUCGUGACUUGCUCAGUGGCCUAUGCCAUGGGUUCAUCUGAUGAAGAGGACUCCACGACAAUCGGCACGGCGCUCAGACCAGCCCCCUGAGAAGAAAUCGGUGGUCGGGAAGCGCUCGGUGUGCCGAUGACCUGCGUCGAAGAGUCGGUUAAAUACAUUAUACAAGUGCCCGAAGGAAAUCCGUAAGAUGAGUACCGUACCUCAAUGGAUGAGGGCAGGGGCGCAUUGGCGUCCGGACGAGUUGUCGCCGAUUGUGGUAUUUCCAUAGAGGUGCUCUGGGAAAUACAAAGUUAAGAAAAGUUAAUAUUGAAAUAACAAUCGGAGAUGGCAAAACUCGGACUUGCCUGCAUAGCUUCCAACAAUAAUGACGCGGCAGUCACCCCGGCUUGUGUGAUGGCUUGAGUAUCGGCGCUUUGUGUGGCCUGGGAAGGUGGUGCAGUCAAAGUUUCUGCUGAUACGAGCACAGGAGGAUCCGCCGAUUCCGUACGAGCCCGGACUCGGCGACUGGUUUUCUUGAUGACCUUCUUGUGAACCUUCUUCGAUCGGCCAGCGAUCAUGUCAACUGACGGAGCGUCGUAGCCGAUAAGAGGAUAGCUGGUGUACGGAUAGCUCUCUAUUAGCCGACCGCUGCGGCUGUGUGUUGGAGGGUUCCGAUUCCCGGCCUAAAGAAACAAUGAAGUCAUUAGUGCUCAAUCAUGUUGGGGAGAAUAAAAAUCGGCGAUCAGAAAUACCUCGGCGUUGGGAUCAAUGUUGGCCGGAUCUAGAAGGUUGCAGUAUGCCGAUGCUGAGUUGCAGAAUAAAAAUUGCUUCCAUUCGGCCCACCAAAGUUUGAACGGCUGAAUGGCAAAAGGAAAUAAUAGCCAGUCAUUCAAAUUAAUCGUACUGGAGUCCGGAAUUCGGUCUCGCAGCCGACAGUAAUCCAGGCCAGUUGUGAGCACAUCUCUGAACUUGAUUCGGCCAGCAAAAUACACUUGUAUCGGCAAUUGACCCAUGCCGAAUUGUCGUGCGGCAGUAGACGGGUUGUAGAAUUCGUAUGUAGGGGCAUCCUUCCCUGAAAAGAAGUUGGCCGGUAGGAGUCCUGGCUUGAUCAGUUCUUCAUAAAGAUUCUCAUCAAACCGGCCAGAAGUCGAGUCAAAGCAGGUAGGGAGCUCAAAGACUGGGUUGUCUCGCUGGUACGGGAACCAAAUGGAUGCGUCUUCAUUAAAUCCAUUAUAAAAGCACCGAAAGUACUCGGCUACCUUUGUAGCAGAAUACGCACAACCUGGAAAAGCUGACGCUGCUUCACCAAAGGACAUGCAUCGACGACGCUCGGUAGGGUCCUCCGCCGAUUCGAUAUUGGGAAACAUCAUAUGGUCCACUGGCUGUCGGGUGAUUCUGCUCAUGUAAAGGUUCAACCACAGAUUGAUAAACCACCAAGGCCUACCUGGGUUGCCGAUUGGUUCUCCCUUGGAAAGUUUUGUCCCGAUUUGAUGGAGCAUGUGGUACACGGCACCCAGAAGAUGUUUCCCGAGAGGAAUAUGGCUUCCUCUGGACAGUGCUUCAGCUAAGGAUUGGGUGUUGGUUGUUGGGCCGGCGGCUCUUCCACAAAAGAGGUGUUUUUCUAGCCACAUCAUCAGGAAAGCUGUGUGUUCCCUGUUCUCAACGGUACCAGUCUUCUUGUUACUGUUGAUGAAGCCUUUCCAGCCGCCGAUUCCCCUUGUGUCCAACCGAUGCGACGUUGUGGUCAAAAGGUGGAAGGGUGUGUCAGGGGAAGAUAUGUCCAGGCCGGUCAAGAGGACCACAUCGGCCAGAGUGGGGGUCAUAGGACCGUGUCCAAAUAAGAACGCAUUAAGUGCGUCAGACCAAAAAUAGGAAGCCGCCAUCACUAACGGCUCGUUUUUAUCCAUUUGAGACAGGGAGAGGUUGAUGCAUUGGCCGAUUUUGAGCUCGUCCCACGAGACGCUCCUUGACGCGGCCACCCGUUGGUACCAUUCCCUCCAACCUGGGGUUUCAUUCGGCCAAGAUCUAAAAGUGCUUGCCCAUUGAUCUAAGUUCAUAUCGGAUCGUUUGAAAGGUAUCCGGUCGGUUUCCAAAUUUAUAAGAUCUACCGGAUCUGGGUCUCCCAUAGGACCGAGGCAAACAAGGCCAGGACUUCCCGUGAGAUGAAUAGUAAUUCUAUGCCUUACCGCCUAAAAAAGGAAAAUGCGUAUGGAAAUGUAAGAAGUAGAUCUAAGAUAAAUACGUUGCCGAUAGGGGAAGGAUUCGGUAUUUACCUCCGGGAUAAAGUUCUGAGUAAUCGGUGUGGUCGCCGAUGCGGAUGUGGAUGACGGGGCCGCGAUGGGGAUCGCCGUUGGGAUUUCUGAUGGAGCUUUUUCAUCUGUGGAUGAAGUGACGGUCGUCGCCAUCACCACCGGAGGCGCUAUCUCUGGAGCAUUGCGUGUGGGAGAGCUGCCGGAAGGAGUCGCCAUUGAAGGGAAGGGGGGAAAAAGUAACAGGAGCUGGAACUAGAAGACUUCGAUGGCAAGGGAGAGUGUUGAAAGAAGAAGGAUGCGCGCGCGUUGGGAAAAGAGACGUGAGCUUGAAGAUGAGCUGCGGUGAAGCGCUAUUUAUAGGAUGCCUGAAGAGGGGGUAAAGAUGGAAUUUUCACCGCGCCGGCGCUUCGAUUUUUUGGGGUAGUGGCUGUCGUGGGCGCCCGUUUCAAAAAUUGCAAUGAUCAGCCGGGAGACCGCGAAACGGAAGGAUAUUUUCACUGCGGCCGUUUCGGAGGGGAGGUUAUAAAGAAUUUCGAAGUAAAAGACUGUGUUUUACUCCGAAACUGGGGGGCAUGUGUUGACGCCGGAUUUCGUCACUAGUAGAAUCGGCGCCAAGCAGAAAAGAAAUCGGAGAUGUACAGUUGGGAAUCGGUCAAAUGGUGCUAUAGUACGGAAUCGGCUGGCGACUUUUGUCUCGCUUCAGGAUGAAUGCACCAGAAUCCCAAUCGGUAAUCUUUUGCCGAUGAGAAAUCGGCCGAUUAGGAGGAUGGAUUAAUUGGGCCUGUAUGGGCUUGGAAAGGGAUGGAAGGAUAAGGUGGAGGUCAGCCCACGAAGCGUGGGGUAACUAACCUAGCACGAAUUGUGCUUGUAGAUAUUUGUUUUCUGUUUGAAUUAGAGAUAGAAUUCUAGUCGGUUAAGAAGUUAUCUGUACGGGGCUAUAAAUAGCUACCUUUGUAAAUCUGUAAUCAUCAACCAAUCAAUACAACAAGCUACUUUUUCUUCGUACUUACUUUCGAGCAGGCGACUUCGCCAUUACUUUUUCUUCUCACGAGUUCGUGCGGAUUGGCAGGGCUGCAUCAUCUUGAUUUCCGGCCGAUUCUGUAAGUUCCGUUUAUCGAGUAAUAUCUAAGCUUUAACUUCCGGCGCAUCGCUGUUGUUUCGUUUAGAUUUAUUCAUCAGUUAUCGAUAUUUGCUAGAUUUAUAGGUUUUUACCUGUUUUUCUAGUUUUUAUCACCAGUUAUCCAGCUAGGAAUCGGUAGUAUCGGCUUUCUUUAUUUUCUAUCGUUAGAUUCAUCUGUUGCCGAUUAGAUCCGUUCCUAGUGUUGUUAUCACAAGCUUUGCACUAUUUUACUUUAGCAAUUUCCUGUCUACAAAGCUGUAGGGAUCGGGCUGCCUUAUAGCCGAUUUCAUUAUCACAGUGAAUCGGCCGAUUCGCCGAUAAACUCUCUCGAUCGGAAGCUUAGCCGAUCGUAGUUUCUAAACCUGACACGUGUUCUUCCUUGCCAAUCAACAGGUCAGAUUGGCUGGCACGCCGCGCGAACCGCACCAGGGCAUUCACCCGAACAGGAGCUAAGCAGAUUCUCCCGGGUCGUGUGUCGGUCGCUGGGAUUCGGUCGAUCGAUUUCUAGCGCCAACACUAUCAUUUCUAAUGAAUCGGCCGACGUGAACCCGUGUCCCAGCUUCCCAUCUUCUCGGGCGAACUGAUCCAUUUAAUCUGAGUCUUCGGAGCCGACUGCUCGGAUCGGCUGUAGGCCAAAAUCGGACACCUUUAAGAAGUCAGUAUCCCAUACUCUCCCGGAUAUGCACUUGACGGUUUCGCAGCUCCACUGCUGCAUGUCGGCUGCUGCGAUGCUGUAUACGGAAUCGGCGGUGACCACCUCGAUGUUGUCGCCGACCCAUUGUACGAGGUAUUGAUGCAUUGUAGAUGGGAUACAACAAUUUGCAUGUAUCCAGUCUUGGCCGAGUAGCAUGUUGUAGGACCCCUUGCCAUUAAUAAUAAAGAAAGUAGUAGGAAGGGUCUUACUGCCGAUGGUGAGGUCGACACAGAGGGCGCCGCGAGCGGGGGAUACGUUGCCCUCGAAGUCCUUGAGCAUCAUAUCUGUCUUGGUCAGGUCAUCAUCGCUCUUCCCAAGCUUCCGGAGCACGGCGAACGGCAUGAUGUUGACUGCAGCUCCUCCGUCUACCAAUAAUCUGGUAAGGGGUCGGCCGUUGACAUGCCCUUUAAGAAACAAUGCUUUCAGGUGUUGCCGUUUGUCGUCUUCGGGCUUCUCGAAUGUGGCGGUCAUUGGCUCCAAAGCCAAUUGCGCCAUCUAUUCUUCCAUUGCCGAUAUGUCCUGUCAGUCGGCAGGAGUCAUGAACUCCAUCGGCAAUAUGAAAACCAUGCCGAUGUCGGCUGCCGAUUCGCCGCCUGCCGAUUCGUCACCUCCUCUGUCGUUUCUUUUGGGGCGCCAUACCUGAGACCUACCUUCCCUCUUGUCCGUCGUGUACUGUUGUUCUUCCUCUUGCUGUUCCCACUGGCGGAGACGUUGGAUUCUUUGUUUUUGAGACUUGGUCAAUCCAUCGGGGCACCACCUGGGGUUCACCGGUUUGGUUCGUGGUCUAGCACGUUCCCACUCCGGACCGCGUCCUAAAGGGUUCUCGUCCGACGCCCGAGCAUCGGCCAUUUCUUCAAGUCGCCUGUGGACGCUGACCCUGUUUUCUGGCUGGUCAUGUCGAUCAAAUCUGCCCCCCGGCCCGUCAUUGCGCCUGCCUUCCGACCGGUCAUAUCGGUCACUUCUGCCCCCCAGCCGAUCACGUACUAGAGGGCGCCGGUCGUCUUGGUCGCGCCAGUUCCUGCUGAUCGGCUCUGGUCUCCCAUCUCUAGAGCGAGACCUGCUGAACGGCUGAUUGUUACGAUACGGGCCGUUGCACUCCGGGCAAUUAUCGGCCGAAGGCAACCUGAGGUUGCUUUCCCAACAGUGGAUGAAGAACGGGCAUCUCCAGUGAUCUUCAUGUCGCCGCAUUGCUUCUUCCCGGGAUCUUGAGCGUUCAUGUUGCUGCUGAUAUUUGUUGAGCAGGAAUUGGGAAGUAAUGCGUGGUUCUCCUGAUCCGCCGUCAUCGUCCUCCAUCCGCCGCUUCCCUUUGACGUCUUCAGGCGCCACUUGAUUUCUGGGGUCUACGGCGCCACUCUUUUUAGCCGAUUCGGAUGUCAGCACCUUGGUUUGGAGCGAGUUCUUUCCCGUGUCAACCAUGUUGGUGGGGAAGGGGUGCUGAUCGAUCUUCAUCGGCUUGGCUGGUUUUGUUGGCACUUCAAAUUUAAGUCUGCCCUGCUCAAUGGUCGUCUGUAUCUGCUGCCGGAAGAUUUUGCACUCAUUAGUGUCAUGGGAGGUAGCGUUGUGCCACUUGCAAUAUUUCAUCUUCUUCUGCUGUUCGGCAGAAGGAAUAGUAUGAUAUGGCGAGAGCUUGAUCUGUCCUUCCUGGAGAAGGAGGUCGAAGAUUUUAUCGGCCUUUGAUGUGUCAAACCCGAACGUUUAUGGCUCCUUUUUGCCAAACGAACAUGAUAUCGGCUUCUUCCCUUUAACCCAUUCUGCAAGACCAAUUUCUGCAUCUUCUUCGGCCUCAACCUCUUCUAAGUAUGCCACCUUCUUCUAGAAGUUUCUCCGUGGAUCGAAAGAACGUACCUCCUGACCAGACAAUCGGUGGACGAUUUGGCUCAAGCUCUCAAACUCCUGUGAGGCGUACUUUUCUUUGAUGUGAGGCAGGAGACCUUGAAAGGCUAUAUCAGCCAGCUGUGCAUCAGUCAGAGCUAGAGAAUAGCAUUUGUUCCUGAUUUCCCGAAACCUCUGCACAUAUGAGGAUAUUGGCUCGUCGCUUCUCUGCCUGAGGCUGGUCAAAUCGGACAACUUCAUCUCAUGUACCCCGGCGUAGAAGUAUUUAUGAAACUGCUUCUCCAGAUCGGCCCAUGUAAUUAUCGAGUUGGGUGGUAAGGUUGUAAACCACUAGAAGGCCGACCCAGACAAGGAUGACGAGAAAAGUCUCACCCGUAGAGCAUCUUGCGCCGCUGCCUCUCCGCAUUGGAUGAUGAAUAUGUUCACGUGUUCUAUGGUUGAGGUGUCGUCCAGCCCCGAAAAUUUGGUGAAGUCAGGAACUUUAUACCGAUGGGGAAACAGCAGUAAGUCGUAUGUAGACGGGUAUGGAGUCCUGUAGGUGUAGGUCUGCGCCUUCGGCUUCAAACCGAAUUGUUCCUGAAUCACCUUUGCUAUACGUGCCGACCAGUCCGGCUGUUGCUGGUAAACCGUCGGCUGAGGGACUGGUACGUGCUGGUAUAUCGGCGGCAGGAUGGCUUGAUGCUGAGUGAAAGCAUGUGGCAUUUGAUGUGUCACAGCCGGCUGCGUAUUCAAGGUCGGCUGUUUGAAUGAGCCGCUCGUUUCAUCAUAUAGUACGAGCUCUGCUGCUUUGCUCAUCUCUGGUGCGACAGGCUGGUACGGCGGCAUGGUUGGUCGAGUGGCCUCCCGGAAAUACGCCUGGAAUUGGGGGCUUCAUGGUUGGCCGAUUGAUCCUGAACGGCCGUCGCUGAUGGUGCCCCCCAAGGCGCUGGAUUAACCGGAGGGAACUGCGCAGAGGACAACUGAACGGGAUGUGGCUGGAGGUGUUGCGUACCAUUAAACCCCAUGGGGAUCGAUGAUGAGGAAGCGCCAGAACCCCCAACUGGAAAUUGGAUCGGCUGAGAAGCUGAUGACGGCAUUGUACACCGUAUUAGCAAGCACCGGGGAUUGAUCGAUGAAAGCUUGAUAAACGGAUUGCUGAACCAUCUCGGACAUCUUGUCCGAGUCCUCGGUGAUUAUGAUCUGGCGGGGAGUUGGAAACGGAGUCUUUUUGAUGGUCUCCCCGCUCCUGGUGUGACUGAAGGACUGCAAACACGCCUUCCGGUAGUAUGCCGUCUGCUUCUCUAGUUCUUCCUUCUGGUCGUCCCUGAGAUCUGCCUCUGUCACUUCGAUGACGUUAUCUUCGGAGACUUCAGCAGCUUUCGACAUGGUGGCGGUUGUAUUGGUCCCACCGGGCGUGCCAAAAGUGUGUUGGCGCUAGAAAUCACUGAUCGAAUUCCCAGCGUCAGACACACGACCCGGGAGAAUCUGCUUAACUCCUGUUCGGGUGAUCGCCCUUGUAUCUCGCCGCAUCUUCCAAUCUCUUCUUCUCAUUACGCCGAUUUUACUAGUGUCAAAAUCUGGCGUCAACAGUUCCAUAUCACACAACUCAAGAAGUGCCUCAGAGUUUUAGAAGAAUAGUUGCCUCUGGAGGAAUUGAAUAUUCAGGUUGAUCUAACUUAUACGGAGUAUCCGGUCAAGAUCUUGGAUAUUUUGAAAAGGGUUACCAGGAACUGGGUAAUAAGGAUGUGCAAGGUUCAAUGGAGUCACCAUACAGAGGAUGAGGCUACUUGGGAAAGAGAGGACGAGCUAAAGAAGGAAUUUCCUGAACUGUUUGCAGAAUCAUCCGAAUCUCGAGGACGAGAUUAUUCUUAAGGGGGGUAGGAUUUGUAACACCCAGAAUUUCAAACUUUGAAACUUGAUAAAAUUUUGCUAACAAUAGCUUGCAUUUAAAUUCCUUAGGCAUUUAAUAAUCUUUUCAAAUUAAAUUAAUACAUCAUAGGAGUUCAUUGUUGCGUUCAUGCUGGUGCAUAGUUUUUGUUUGAUUGACUUUGAAUUUGUGUUUGUUUUCAAAUUUGAAUUCGUUUGAUUCAAAGCUUUCUUCUUUCUUCUUUUCUUUCUUUUGACCCGCAGUAGCCUACCAUUCCUUUUUGGCCUAUUCUGUUGCUUUUCCCACACUGGCCCAAGCUUCCUCUAGCCCAUCCGCCAGACGGCCCAGCUCUCCUCCCGUACGCCCUCUCUCCAAUCACCAAUAGGCAGGCCCCGCUUGUCAUCUGCUUCCUUCCGCCUCUCCCGCACGUGCGCAGCUCCCGCGCCGCUUCUUCCCCGUGCCGCACCAGGACUCGAGUGCGAGUUCGACUUGGCCACGCCCCCGAUUCGCUAGUUUGGGCCCGUAUGCCAGGGGGCGUAUAAAGCUGCCGCCACCCCGGGUUCUCUCUUCCAUCAAACCCUAGCCGCACCAAAUAGCAGAAAUAGAGUUCCAAUAGCGGCACAUUUAUAAUGCCUUCCCCAUGAAAAUAAUGUUGAUCUUCAAUCCGAACUUUGAGCAUGAGUAAACCGUUGGCUGAAGCUUCCAUGUACAAUUGGUGCAAUUUGUACAUCUUCGUUGGAAGACGGUCUACCAACUACGGCCACACAAAGUGGUUUACCUACCUCAAAUUUCCAUUUAGCAGCCCUAGGGUGCUUUGGGACGUGAUCCUACCCUCGAAGUUGAGCUGGGGUGAGAUUUGUAUCUUUGGCAGAUAGAAGCAAGUUCUUAUCAAACUCCAAAAGCACCUGGAGUAGGGCAAUCGAUUAGUUGGAUUGGGUUCCGAGCUAUGGAAUACUUGACCCACUUUUCCUCUUCUUCUGAAAAGCCUUUGUUAUUGAGCGGUCAUAGUCAGAUAGCAGUGGUUUCUCUAGAUUUUUCUCCAUGCUUCUAAUGAAAGCUUGAAAUUUAACCUUAUCAAGUGGUGGAUCUUUCUUCACGAGAGGCUUUGGUGCAAAGUAAGCUUUAACCUCAGCAUCCACUAUUGCGUCCAUUUCCACAACAGUCAUCUCGUAAGCUUUUUUGGGCUCUGGUUGCUUCUCCUUCAGCUUCUUCUGCUUCUUCUUUGUAGCCGCAGUAGGUGGAACUGAAGGCAUCUUUCACCGUGUAGCCUUGCUCAUAACAGGGGGAGGUGGACUCAUGCUAAGAUCCUUGUCAGUUGGUGGAGAGCAUGGACUCAUGCUAGAAUCCCUGUUAGCUAGUGGACUCAUGCUAGGAUCCCUGUCUGGUAGUGGAGAGGGUGCCCUAGCAGAUGGCAUAGGUGAUCUUGCCCAUGAGUCUUGAGGAGAUGAUCCCAAGGUUGGGGGAUUCGGCUGCAUAAUACUUAUGUAGCGCUUCGGUACAGAAUCCAACCGUGGAUGGCUUCUCCUAGAUUCUUUUCCCCGUCACCUCCCGAGAUCUCCAGGUCAUCCUAACCGUUGACCACUCGGUCCACCCUAACUUUGGCGUAACCGCAAGCUGAAUCUCCAUGCCAUGAAUUAUUUGGUCUUGUGUCGGUUGUUCAGCCACACCAUAAGCCACCACAAUGAGCUUGUUUUUCAUGGGAGUAACAAACUCACAAGGGGCUCUCCUAGUGAUGUCAUCCACAGGGUGGCGUUAGUUUUCCUCAAACAUGUCAGAAGAUCCUCCAAUUGGGGUUUUCCGUGGAAGCGAUGCUGCUUCGACGCUGAGAGGGGCUUACGUCGACAUUAUCCCCUGAUGAUGCAGCUACCUGUUCAUUGUCUUGUUUGCUAAGAGCUAGAGCCACAUGCCGAUUGAUUGCUUCUUCCAUUCUUGCCUAUGUCAAAGCUACGUGUUCUUGCAACUCUCGCAGCUAUCGUGCAUGUUCGACCUUCCUUCUUUGACGACUUCUGUAGGAAUCAAUGUGGUCAUGAAAGGAAAACUUCCAUGCAAUUACUCCUUUGCCUCAGAAAUGUUCAAAGUGUUCUGGAUUACCUAGUACAAUAGUUAGAUCGUCCUUCUCUCGAUCAAGCACGGAAGAUCCUACGGCCAUAGCCUUUAUUAACUCAACAAGUCUCGUAGCCGCUUCUCUUAAUUCUUGGCCGAACAUAAAUGAUCCAUUUUUGGGAUUGAGUGUGACACCAUGAGCAUAAUACCAAUGCUUUGCUCGCUCGGAUCAUUCGAGAGUUGCUAGUACUAUUCCCUUAGCAAUUAUGUCAUCUUCCGUCCUCUACCAUUUGAUGAUCCCCUUCUUGUAACCUCCUGGCCCAAGACGAUGAAAGUAUUUCUUCUGAUGAGAAUUGUCGGUGUUGGUUUUAGUUGCCUUAGCGCUCUUUUUCUACUGCUUGAACUGCACAAAUGAAUCCUAGUGAUCUCUUAACUUCGGGUGCUUCGUGAAAUCUGGUGUAAGGCCCUUCUUUAUGUAGUCUGAAAAGCAAUUGCACUCUUCCCAAAGACCCAAUCUUUCACUUUAUCUACAUCUACACCUUCAAACAUGAAGUUUUCUUUUAUCUUCUCCCAUAACAUUUCCUUCUCUCCAUCAGAGACCACGCUUAUGGGACCUCUAGUACGGGGACCACACUCUCAUCGAUUUCAGGACAUUUCCAAUUUUGAAAGCUUAUUGGGAUGUUAUCCCUAACAAGAAAUCCAUUUUGAUUCACCAAUUUUGUCUUAGCAUUGUCUGGACCAGUUGGUUCACCCUCUUCAUUAAUUUUCAUGAUGAUGAUAUGUCCCUCUAGCAUCUUCUUCGGGCAUCUUUUCUGUUUAGGCCUACUCGAUCCAGAUGGCUGAAAAUGAAAGAACUAUUAAUUCCCAAUAAUCUUGAUAAGUAUAGAAAAAUCAUGUUUACGUAUACUAAUUGUUAUACCUCGUCUUGUUGCCCAUCAUUGCCUCCCUCGGCAAUUGGGUCCUCCUCAUUGCCAUCACCAGACAUGUUGAGAUAGAUGUCAGUCUAGCUGUGAUCAAUCUCUUCAUUUGGUUGAUCGUUCGUGGAACCUUGAGCAAUCAAGUCCAUUAGGUAUUCCUUGUCCAAUCGAGCAUGCUCAUUCUCUAAUCGUGCCAUUGUAACUAAUAUAAUAUAAAAAGUAUUAUUUUAAGAAAUAGUGGCAUCAACAAUAAAAAGAAUGACUAAAAAAGAAUCAAACACUUGGUACAGUUUGUUAUAAUAAAUGACUAAAAAUUUAUUUGCAGUGAAUUGCGUGUCAUUUACAACCGUCAUCAAAUAUUUUCUAAAAUUUUAUGCACAAUUAUUAAAAAAAGCACUACAAAAAUGAAUGACUAAUAGUUAUACAUUCUGUACCAAUAAAUGACUACAAAAAGAGUCAAACACUUUUACAAUUUAUUACAUUUCUAAUAUUUUCUGCAUAUUUCUAUAAUUUAUUGAACUAUUUGAUGAAUUUCUAAUAUAAAUGACAACAAAAAUAUUUACAACGAAAAGUAGUCGUUCACCAUCAUCAAAAUUCUUGGAAAUUUCUAGAAGUAUCAAAGUAAUUUUUACUUUUUCGUAGACAUUUCUAAAAAUUAACAGGAUACAAUAAACAUGGCAUAAUUAAUGUUGUACAAUUUACAAGUACUAGGCUUUUCCAUGAAUUUUUCUAUAAUUUCUACCUAAUGCAAGAAAUUUUGUAUAAUUUCUAGCUAAUUCAAGAAUUUUUCUACAAUUUCUAGCUAUUUUUAUAUAUUGAAGAAAUAAAAAAGGAAAAAAAUUAAAAAAUGACGUCACCCGGGCGUGGGCUUACAUCAGCAGAGAAGACGCGAAGCCCGUGGCUGACCGUGCAGUACGGGCACAGGGGAGGGGGCGGCGGGGGAGAGGAGGCUGGCGGGGAGGUAGAGGUGGUGUGCGAGGAGGGUGGUGGCGGAGUGGUCCUAGGUGGCAAUUGGCGUCGGCGUCUGGGGAGAGGACGACAACGAGGGCGGUGGCGAGGCGAGUGGGGUCGGGGGCUUGAUGUUGAUUAGAUAUACAAUAUAAAAAUAUUAGAUGUAUUUAAAUAUCAAACAUAGUAAAAUUAUUAAUUUUAAUUUAGUAAUAGGUUAUAAUGGUCAUAAUACUUAUGUUAACAUUAAAAUUCAAAAAAAUAGAUAUUUUGACCAUGCAAAAAUUUAGAAGAAUAGUGACUAUAGUGUUAUUAACAUGUUUACCAUGAAUUAAUCAUGUACUUGUCUAAUUGUACAUAAAUUUUAUAGGGUUCUUACAACUUAGAGUAUUCACAAGGAUGGUGAGGUCGCUUUUAGGGUUGUUCGGGGUUCAUUUGGGGAGUUAUUUACUUUUGAAUGUUUCUUUUAUCUCUUCCAAAAAUUACCCAUUCAGUUUAUUAGGACCUAUAUUUCUUUAUUCACUUAAACUAAUUUCUUAUCCAAAAUUUGAUUCCACAAGCGAACAGUAACAUAUGGCAUUGAGAAAAUUACCACACCUUACUUAUGUCAUCACUGAGUUACUGUAAAAAUUUGGGAUCCAUUGGAUUACCACAAAACGAAUUAAAAGUAUUUUACCACCAAGGUUAGCAUGCACUUAACCAUUUUUAUCUCAAAACCUACAGCGAUUCUGAGGGUGAAACUUUAACAGUAGAUUGAAGGCGUGUUACAGAGACUUUAGUGAAUUUUUCAUGAUUUUUAGAGAAGGACAUCUAUUUCCCAUAUUUUCCUUCUAUUUAUCUUGCUUUAUAAAAGAAGGUGGGUUUCUUUCUAUUUCUGACCAUGUUCCAUAUUUUUCCCGUGAACUACACCUUAAAAUUGAGCUACUCCAAGUGGUUUCACAUUUUUCUCAGCUCUGGAUUAAAACUUAUGCAAAAAGAAAGAUUUAACCCUAGAUUUCAAAUAUAAGGCUAAAACAGUGAUUUAAAGUUCUACUCCAAAGACCUAAGUAUAUUUUUGAGCUUCUACUUAUUGAAACAUACACCACAGAGUUGGAUUUACCUUUUUAGCAUUUUUAUUCGAUUUACUAUGAUUUAAAAGGCCUAAGCAAGAAAUAAAACUAUAGGGUAUUAUUUCCAAUAGUAACAUGGGCAAGAUUAUUUUUGUAUGAAACUAGACAGUUCACUGAGUUCAAUAAAAGUGAUUUGGUAUUUUUCUUAUUUUUCUAUGAUUUAUGGUGCAUUUACAAAGUUUAUCCUAUUUUCUGCCGAUUUAAAACAAUAAACCGAAAACAACUUACAAACUAACCCUCGGGUCUACGGUUUAAUUGCGCAGGGGUCCUUAGUUCUUGCGCUAAGGCUCCUGGAAGAAUGUACACGACACAGAUAGGUCCUCGCGGCGGCCGGCGGUGAUCUUCGCCCGAUUCCGGUGAUGUGAGGCUCGGGUCAGGGCAACAAGUUACCAGGGAGGAGCGCGGGCUCACCUAGGGUCGAUUGGCAGUGGUUAGGGCGGUGAUCAGGCUCGGCGGCGGCGGAACGGCUUGGGGAUGGAAGCGGCUUCGGCGGCAAGGUCCCGGCGAAGUUCCAACGACGGCGGGGCUCCGGGAGGGCAACACGUCGCUCGGAGACGUGUGCGGUGGUGUGGCGGAGCGAGCGGUGGUGUCAGCAAGGUGCAGGGUGACACGGAGGUUGGGGCUCCAUGGGAGACCUGAGCGGUGGCACUGGAAAAAUAGGGGAGCGGCGGCACUGGUAGUGGCAGAAGGCGGUGUAGGCGGCGCCAUAAGUCCUUUUAUAGGUUUAGGGAGGUGCGGUGGAGUGAGGCAGAGCUUCGGGCACGGGCGGAUAGGAUCGGAGGGCUCGGUGGGCUGCGGGCCGGAGCUCCAUUAGCGGCGACGCAAUUAGCCGGGGCGCGGAGACCAUAGGAUAGGAUCUCCCGGUCAUUGGCCUUGGGGAAAACGAGUCGUGCAAGCGCGGCUUUACCGCGGUCGGGGGUUGGCGGAGCGAGGCGCGCGUGCGGUCAUUGUCCGGGUGGUGAUAGGCGGUCAGAGCUUGGCCGGUCCGAGGCGGCGGCAUCGCGUCCUCCGGCGGGCGGAGCUUGCUCGGAACGGAGCGAAGAGAUGCGUGACGCCAGGGGUGGGAUAAGCGCACUCGCCUACUAGGCAUUCGGGCACGUGAGCGGUCUUAUCGCAGCAGCUGGUUGGGCGAUGAUGACCUCACCGGUGGAUGGUGGCCACGCGGCGGACGGCGCACGAGCGAACGUGCGGGCGUGCUCCGGGCACGCGCGGGGCGGGGUGCUCCUCGGGGCAGUCAAACAGGGCCGGUUUUGGGGCCUUUUUCUCCAAACUUUUCAAAAGAACUCGUGAAACUCCAAAAGUAAAACUUGUAGACCAAACAUUCAGCUCCAAACUUUACAAAAGGAGUUUGCUAGAAAAUGAUAUGAAUUUGAAACUAUGGAGUUGCAAAGUUUGGCAGAACGCUGGUCUCCGGGGACUUAGGCAGAUCUCGGUUUUGCUGUUUUUCAGCAUUUUGGCCAACUUUGGCUAAGAUUUUGGGUAAUGUUCCCUUUGAAUCAGGCCAAAGUGUAAUUGAAGGAAAAGUUCUUCGGUCUUAGGACUCCAACUUCUAUUAAGGACUUUUCUUGAGUUCAGUUCAAAUUUUUAGAGGAACUGGCUCGCCAAGAUGCACGCUCUAGACAUUUUCCAGACUUAGCGUUGGAAUGCAAAAAGGCUGAGUUGACUGUUUUACCUGAUUUUAACCAAGUUUUUGAGCAGGUUCAGUUGCGAUUUGGACCUAGGUUAGUGUAACAAAGUUGGAACACACUCAAGGAACUACAACUUCUAUUUAAAGUCUGACUUGAGGUUAGAUAUAGAAUGGUGAGAUAACAGGUUGCAAAGUUGAGGAAAAACAUGAAUUCCAGGACAAGUCAUUUGUAGGGUUUUGAUGUACUCCUGAUUUAAUUCUUGUUUUUGACCUUCUCCCACUCCAAAUUAGCCAAAGUGUUAUUAAUAAAAGUUGUUUAAAAAUAAAAAUUUUACAAUUCUUAUUUAGACAAAAAUUUAAGUUGGUAAAUAGAAACUCAAGUUUUCUAUUUAACUUCAAAAAGAGCUUUUUAGGGGUAAUUUGGACAUUUCACCUCCUCUACUUUGUGACUAAUGACUUGCUCAAGUUUAACUGUACCUAAUUAAGGUACAGUUGUUACAGUGAUGUUGCUGCACAGAGCUAAAAAGAAGCACGUCGCGAGAUGAUUUAGCGCCGUGAUGCGAAAGCACGACGCCAGGUGAUUUAGCGCCGUGCUAUUUUCCCUACACAAAGUCAAAAACUUCAUACAGGUAGAUCACAUAUUAAUGUGUAACACCCAGUCCGCUUCCAAGUAUCCCGGCGNNNNNNNNNNNNNNNNNNNNNNNNNNNNNNNNNNNNNNNNNNNNNNNNNNNNNNNNNNNNNNNNNNNNNNNNNNNNNNNNNNNNNNNNNNNNNNNNNNNNAUGGAUUUGUGUAAGCUAGGACAUAUGGGCUCACAGAUUAAGUCCAAAGGUUCACACAUAAAGUCCACAAAUCAUCCAAGUUCACCUCUUAUCAAACCUCUAAUCCAAUCCCUUCCUUCGGCAUUUAUCUUCACCUUCAACUCUAACUUUCUCUCAAACAAAUUCACCUCCAAUUGACAGCACGCAUCCUCAAAAAGUUCAAAGUUAACCUUCACAUGGUCUUUCUUGAACAAAUUCUUGGCAAGAUGCCGAGUGCACCAUCAAUGAUGAACCGAACCAUGUCCUGGGAUGACUUCCCUAACUGUAUUCAAAAUACCGACAUGCCUGUCUAACAAUACACAAAUCGACCUCCCAGGACCAACAACAUGAAUCCAUACAAGCCUCAUGAACCAUGACCAGCUGUCCUUGUUCUCUUUCUCAACCAAACCAAAUGCUAGCGGCAAAAGAUAGUUUUCUGCAUCGAUACCAAAAGCAAUCAACAAUGUCCCCUCAUACUUGCCGGUCAAGAAAGUGCCAUCAAUCGAUAGAACUUGCCUGCAAUGUGUGAAAGCCUCCACACACUGACCAAAGCACCAAAAAGCACGAAAGAACAUCUCUCGGUUGUCUAUCCACUGUUUGGCAAAGGCACAUAUUCAUAGUGCAUACUAGGAUUAACUGCUUUCAUUGCAUUCAACAUGGCCAGCAAACGCUCAUAUGCCUCCUCCCAAUCUCCAUAUAUCAACUUUACUUCACGUUGUUGAGCCCUCCAUGCUUUCCCAUAUUUGAUUGUGUACUGCCAUUUCAAUUUGACAAUCUGAAUUGCAGCACCCACACGAAUGGUCGGCAUUUGCUUGAUGACAGGGUACAAACGGGUGGCAAUGUACUUAUACGUCAAUUGAUGAUGCUUCUAACUAGGCUCCACAGAUCCACAAGUGUGUGGCCCAACAACACUGGUUAUCUUAAACUUCUGUGUACCCUUUACCUUCCGAGAACAAACUUUCCAUGCACAACCUUUACUCUCACACUUUAUGGUGUAACAUCGAAGCACGUGCGAGUUCUUUACAUUGUAUGGUCGAUUAUGCACUACAUCGUACUCCUUCAACCAAAUCUUAAGUGCCGACGUGUCCUUAAAUGCAUGACCCUUCUCAAUCAUGCUGCUCGAACACGACCUCAGAAUCUCCCUCUCAACUACACCCCCAUCCGCCACUGCCUUGUGUGAUUGGCUAAUGUCACAAAAAUAAAAAACAAGCACGUCACGGUCUAGAAACAACCUCUGGAGAAUCUGCAUGGUGCUAGGCGACAAAGGAGGUGUCAUCAUCAGAAUCACCUGCCCUCGUAGCCUCAUAAGUAUCAUCAUCACCGCUUACAUGAACACCCACACGGUUGGAGGCCUCAGAAGCAAUGCCACGUGCUGGGACUUCAAUAGGAUUUGGAGGUGACUCAUCAUGCCCAAUAUCAGCAAAUCCACCACCUCCACUAUCAUCAUCAUUGGACUCAGGGGUCUUGAGUCAAUGCAACCUCAGUAGGGGCAGAAAGAACCACAUGGACCUCAACAGCUUCUUGCAAAGGUGAUCCCACUGCCGGUGAAUUGUUUAGGUCCAAUGAAACCCCAGGAGGAAAUCCUUGACACCUUCUACACAAACAAAUACAAUGCUUUAACCUCACUCUCCAACACAACUGACAUAAUUUUCCCACUCAUCUUGACUACCAAUGGAGAUCAACCUCUUUAUGCGUGGACCCUUUGAGGACCCAACAUCAAUCGCACCUUGCAAUAUCACAUCCACACCGUGACCGGUCCCACCUCACCUCUCUUUCAACCUUUCCACAAUGCCACUGAAUGUUGGUCUAACACUAAAAAGCAACGAGUUCCUCCAUGUUCUCAAAAUCAAAACCGCCUAUCUCAUUCCUCUUGACUAUCCCAACAUGAUAUAUAGUCACUAAUUUAUCCAUCUAUUCCAAAAAAAUAAACAAGAACUCAUCAUUUUAUUGAACCAUUGUGAAAAGGCAAUAAUCUAGCAUGUCUGCGAUGCCUAAUGACCAAUGAACUAGUUGAAUUUUUUAUACGAUCCCUCUCUUAAUUCCACUAUAUUUCUACGUAUGCCAAUAUACAUGGAGUUCAAAAAUGUAAGGGAAAUCACAUCUACGGGAUGCACAAAUCAACUAUACAUGCACCUAGAGUACUAAUACACACAUCUAAACCUUCAAUCUCACUACGAACCGAUGGGAAAUUCACAUUUUAACCUAGGGUAUCACUUGGGAAAUUCACGGAAUGUGGCUAUAAGAAGAAAUUCCAAUGGACAAAAUCAACAGGGGAAGGGAGGUUACCUUGCUUGAUCCGGAUUUGAACUCGCCCGAGCUCGAAUCGGUGGAGAAUGGCUAGAUCUAGAAGGGGAAGGGAGGAGGGAGGGGGCACCAACUGCUCCUCUCUAUUCAAAAAGAAUAAACAGAGAGGAAGGGAGGAGGGAGGGGGCACCGACCUCUCAAAAGAACAAAUACAGAGGGAGGAAGGGGGAGGCGACGGCGGGCUGGCACCGUGGGAGCGGAUAAGGUUUCGGCAGAACGGCGCCAUGCCCCUUAGCGUCGUGUGGGAACAGCACGAUGCCGUGGUCUUUAGGGUCGUGUAUUUCGGCACGGCGCCACAGGUGUACUUUGACGUGGCAAUGCACGGUGCCAAAGAUCAUGGUGUUGUGCCUUUAACAUAUGGCGCUAAGUGAUGUGGCGCCGUGAGUAAGGUCCAUUUUUGGGAAUCUUUCCGUGUGGUCCAGAUGUAAAAGAUUUACCAAAAAAGGACAAAAAUGAAAAAAAAAUAUACACUCCUCUCUCGCCUAUCCCUUUCCAUUCCUUGGUAACCGUAGGUAACUGCCAUUCCAUCCUAGUCGCAUGUCGUGGCAAUUCCAUUCUACCCACUUAAACGUCAAAUUUUAUUUUUGAUAUGUCCUUAUUGCACCAUCGUUAGUUCGUAAUUUACUUUCCGUCCGACAAUUUACAUGACGCUCUAGGCUUUGUCUUGUUACUUUCUAGGACAAUUGCUAAAUUAUAAUUUGGUUAGCACGCAGCCACAUUUCACAGAGCGCUUUGCUUCGAUGAUUGUGCGAUGUUCGUUGGUUAUUUAUUUUUUCAGACUUAGAACAUUGUUCGUUGUUUGUCUUGUUUGCAAAAUUUGAAAGAAAUUACUAAUUAUCCGUCUAUAAGUCAGGUUGGGUUACAAGGUGUCUUGUUUGCUGAGUACAUUUGCAAGUGAACUGCUCUAGACAAGUAGUAAUGGUUUGACAACUACGGAGGGCGUGUAACUGAAGCGAGAAAUUUAGAGCAUUUGAUCUGGAGCUACCUCUGUCGUUGCUUGCCUCGGCAGAAGAAGCUUGUACGGUCGGCAAUCCCAUAAAAUUGUGCUGUCAGGUGCCCUACUGUAAUGAACAUUUUUUUUUAUCUCCUCUUGAUUUUAGUACAAAACAAAAGAGCUCGCGCUUCUUGCUUUGCUGAGUCCAAGAAAUGCCACACCUCAGAAAUUUUAAUUAUGAACUGGCUAUAAAUGGGAUUUCUCCUGAUUCGAAGGAAACUAGCUAGACGGUUUUCAAAUCUUUGAGUGGUAAAGACUCUUUGUUCCAGCUGAGCUCCUGAGGGACGACAGUGCAAGGCCUUGUUUACUUGACAAAUUUGGGAGGUGCCAAAUUACUGUUACAGCACUGUAGCACACUGUAGCGUUUCGUUUGUAUUUGUGAAUUAUUAUCCAAAUAUUGACUAAUUAGGCUUAAAAGAUUCGUCUCGCAAAGUACAACAAAACUGUGCAAUUAGUUUUUAAUUUCGUCUACAUUUAGUACUCCAUGCAUGUACCGCAAGUUUGAUGUGAUGGGGAAUCUUCUUUUUGCAUAGUGUCAAAGUUAGGAGUUGGGGGUGAAGUAAACAAGGGGCAAGUUUCUCUUGUAGCGAGUACAGAAAGUCAAAAUCCGUAAGACCACUUUAUAACUGUACGACUACAAGUCGUAGUAGCUGUCUAGCAGCCAAGGAUAGUCUGAGUGCGCACUGUUAUCAAGAUUGUCAUGUAAUUUUUCCGACGAAAUGAAACUAUCACUCUCAGUGCACAGUUUAUAAAUAGCCUGGAUCAUUUAAUUUUUACAUUGUGUUAUGAUCAAAUGUAUCAUGCUAUGAAACCAUAACAUGCUCAGUGCAAGUUUCAUGAGGUUUCAUAAGACCUGGUAGCUGUGCCAACAGUUUUAUAAAUAGCCUGGAUCAUUUUAUUUUUACAUUGAGUUAUGAUCAAAUGUAUAAUGAUCAAAUGUAUCAUGCCAUGAAACCAUAACAUGCUUAGUGCAAGUUUCAUUAGGUUUCAUAAGACUUGGUAGCUGUGUCAAGUGGGUUUCAUCGAAAUGAAACUCCCCUCCCCUCAUAAUUAACGUCAGCAGUUUUACUGAUGUGAUAUGUGAUUUAAUACCUAUAAAAUCCCAUAACACUCUCAUUGAGACUGGACUAAUAACACUCUCAUUGAGACUGGACUAAAAAACCCCAUAACACUCUCACUCUCAUUGAGACUGGACUCAAAGUGACUAAAUCACAUAAGCAAGACCACUUUGCAAUCUGAAGAAGCAAUGUCACCACGUGCCAAGGUCCCCUUUGCACCCUUGCAACUUUUCUUUGUGGGUUAAAAGAAUAUGCAAGGCAUGUGACCCCGAAAGCUAAAACUUGGACAGACUGAAAGCGAAACAAUGGAGUACUAAACUCCAUGAUGCAUUAUAGUAUCACAUGUAAACACACACUAUCCGAUUCCACUGACCACUAUCAUUACAAAAUGAUCACCACAACCCAAUAAACAAUCCAAAGAGCUACAUCACACACCUCUAAGCCUUCCUUUUUUCCCCUUCUUCUCUGAAGAAUCCAGCAACAAUAUAUAUAUAAAUAAAGUAAAAUGGCCCUUCUUAUUUUCUGCACCAACAAGGGACACGAAUUGGACAAAGAAAAGAAGAGGGUUCCAAUAAGUCACAAGAAAAACAUAACACAUCAGCGCACACCUUAGGCCCCCAACGCCAGCGCCGCGGCCACCAUCGCAGCCGCGGUGCCCCACCGGGUGAGCAUGGAUGGCGCGGCGCCGGCCUUGUCCGCGGCGUCGUCGGCUGAGUCGUCGGCAGCUGGGCCGUCAGCGCUGUCGUCGUCCGAGGGCGCGGCGGCCGCCGAUGUGCUUCCAGGCUUCUUCUUGGUCUUCUUCUUGGGCACCUCCGGUGCGGGCGACGGCGCCAGGUCCUCAGCUUUUUUGGGCUUGAACAACUCCUUGGGCUGCAGGAACUUGGAGACGGCGUAGAUGGCGAGAGGGUCAUCGUCCCUGACGGUGGCCUGGAUGGUGGAGGUGGUGACCGUGGUGUCGAGCGUGACGGUGUCUGCCUCGGUCUGCGCUUCGUAGGUGUAGUCCUUCUUGGCAACGCUGGUGCUGGCGAGCGUGGUCACCUUGCCUUUAUUGGACUUGAGGAACUGCAUGGAGUAGUAGUCCGGCACGGCGUGGUAGAGCAGGAUGGCCGUCUUGGCCUUGGCCGUCAGGUUCUUGAACUUUGGCAUGAAGGCGGCCACGGCGGCGUCGACAGGGCAGAAGAGCGUGAGCGCAGUGUCCUUGGUUCCGUUGAUGGUAUCGAAGGCUUUGGCAUCGGCAGCUAGGAG
rnacentral:lncRNA from 1 species